GACGAACGCUGGCGGCGUGCUUAACACAUGCAAGUCGAACGCUGAAGCUCAGCUUUUGUUGGGUGGAUGAGUGGCGAACGGGUGAGUAACACGUGAGUAACCUGCCCCCUUCUUUGGGAUAACGCCCGGAAACGGGUGCUAAUACUGGAUAUUCACUGGUCUUCGCAUGGGGGUUGGUGGAAAGGGUUUUUCUGGUGGGGGAUGGGCUCGCGGCCUAUCAGCUUGUUGGUGGGGUGAUGGCCUACCAAGGCUUUGACGGGUAGCCGGCCUGAGAGGGUGACCGGUCACAUUGGGACUGAGAUACGGCCCAGACUCCUACGGGAGGCAGCAGUGGGGAAUAUUGCACAAUGGGCGCAAGCCUGAUGCAGCGACGCCGCGUGAGGGAUGGAGGCCUUCGGGUUGUGAACCUCUUUCGCUCAUGGUCAAGCCGCAACAAUGGUUGUGGUGAGGGUAGUAGGUAAAGAAGCGCCGGCUAACUACGUG
rnacentral:rRNA from 1 species